rnacentral:rRNA from 1 species
UACGUAGGGUGCAAGCGUUAAUCGGAAUUACUGGGCGUAAAGCGUGCGCAGGCGGUUAUGCAAGACAGAUGUGAAAUCCCCGGGCUUAACCUGGGAACCGCAUUUGUGACUGCAUAGCUGGAGUACGGCAGAGGAGACUAGAAUUCCUGGUGUAGCAGUGAAAUGCGUAGAUAUCAGGAGGAAUACCGAUGGCGAAGGCAGGUCUCUGGGUCGAUACUGACGCUCAUGCACGAAAGCGUGGGGAGCAAACAGG